rnacentral:tRNA from 1 species
GGAAAUAGCUCAGUUGGUAGAGUGCUUGCCUCAUGUGCACAAGGUCCUGGAUUCAGUCCCCAGUACCA